AGGGGGUAAGCUCUUUUUCACACCACUGUAUAUAUAAUUCGAAAUUGAGAAAAGUGUUGGAUAUUGGUGAAAAGUGUGUUUUAUUGUAGCGCCAUGAGUGUUGAAUUUAGAGACAUUUUUAAAUUUGGUUUUCAAAAGAAAGAUUGCUAUCAAAGAUCACUUCUACACUUUAGAAGCAAAUUUACACUUCUCAGUUUCUCCAGAUGAAAAGACCAAGAUAAACUCGCAUGUGUUUCAUCUAGAGUUUUAAAAGAGUUAUUUUGCUCAAAUUCACCAAAAUACCAAAGUCUGCAAUCAAAAGCAAAACAUCUGAUUAUGAACUAAUUUCUCAUCAAAUUUUCCCAAGACCAAAACUUUCUGGUAACCAAAUGAUAUUUCUCUAAAUGAAUGAUUACAUUUACAGGUUACUGUAUGUUUGCAUUAAUGUUCAAUCAUGGAUUUUGAUGUAACAACACAAACAUUGUACAUGUGAUUUACUGGCUUUUGAGUCGAAUGAAGAUGUUUUUCUCUUUUAUUUGAUCUGUUCAAACAUCAGUGUGUCUGGUUUGAUCUGUCGGUGGAUAAACAGCUUCUGCUGGAUGUUUGUCGUCUCUGUGUGCGUCAGCAGUUUGUGGCUGAAGUAUUUCUUCAUUUUCUCUCCUGCUAAUAAGAAGAUCACAAUCUUCCACUCCACACUAAACAUCUUUACACUGAAAUAAAGUGAAUCCAUCAACAGUCAAAUAAGAGUCGCAGGUCAGAGGUCAAAUAUGAUUGGCAGCUCACAGCACUAAAUAACACACCAGUAGAUUCAGAUAUCUAGUCCAAUAUUUCACUCUUCUGCUAUUAGUUUUCAUUCAGGCCCAGAAUUCAUUUGAAAAUGUAAGAUCGGCAAAAACUUGUUGAUUUUCGUGAUGGUAAAGGAGACGGAUGUGUGAGCGGAAACUAACUGAGGAUGGGAGGAUUCACACACACCCAGAUAAAUAUCACAGUCAAUAUCACAAUCUGAGUGCUUUCAGACAUUUUAAGAGUCACUAUCGUGGGCUUUUCAGUGAACCGAUGAAGAAAAUGUUCCUCAAGUUAGUUUUGCUCUGUUUGUGGCGUCUGGAUGGAGUGUUUGGUUAUUAUAAACAGAAGAGAGUGUUUGAGGGAGAUUCAGUCACUCUAAACUCUGAUCCUACUGAAAUGAAGAAUAAUGUUUGGAUGAAGUGGUGGUUUAAAGAUCAUAAAUACACUUUAAUAGCUGAAAUCAAUAAACGGGCCGACAGAUUCACUGUAAAUGAUGAUGUUCUUGAUGGGAGAUUCAGAGACAGACUGAAGCUGGACAAUCAAACUGGAUCUCUGACCAUCACAAACUUCACAAUGAAACAUGCUGGAGAUUAUAAACUACAGACUGGUUACUAUAAGAGUGUUGAUUUCCGUCUCAUUGUCAUUGUGUCAGUGAAGGAGGGAGAUUCAGUCACUCUCGACUCUACUCUUACUGAAAUGAAGGAUGAUGAUGAUAUUCAGUGGUGGAUUGGAGAUUAUAAAAAUGCUGUAAUAGCUGAAAUCAAUAAACGGGGCAUCAGAUUCACUGUAAAUGAUGAUGUUCUUGAUGGGAGAUUCAGAGACAGACUGAAGCUGGACAAUCAAACUGGAUCUCUGACCAUCACAAACAUCACAAUGAAUCAUAGUGGAAAUUAUGAAGUACAGACCAAGGAUAUAAGGGUUGAUUUCUAUCUCGCUGUCAUUGUGUCAGUGACGGAGGGAGAUUCAGUCACUUUCAACUCUACUCUUACUGAAAUUAAGGAUAAUGGUAUGAUUCAGUGGAGGUUUGGAAACACUUUAAUAGCUGAAAUUGAUAAACAGGACGACAUAUUCACUGUAUAUGAUGAUGAUGAUGAAGAUGAUGAUGAUGAAGAUGAUGAUGAUGAUGUUCUUGAUGGGAGAUUCAGAGACAGACUGAAGCUGGACAAUCAAACUGGAUCUCUGACCAUCACAAACAUCACAAUGAAACACACUGGAGUUUAUGAACUAUGGACCAAAACUUUCAUCAGGCAUUCUUAUUAUAUUCAUCUCAUUGUCUACGCUCGUCUGCCUGUUCCUGUCAUCAGCAGUAACUCUUCUCAAUGUUCUUCAUCAUCAUCAUCAUGUUCAUUGGUGUGUUCAGUGGUGAAUGUGAGUCAUGUGACUCUCUCCUGGUACAAAGGAAACAGUUCAUUGUCCAGCAUCAGUGUGUCUGAUCUCAGCAUCAGUCUCUCUCUACCUCUGGAGGUGGAAUAUCAUGAUAAAAACACCUACAGCUGUGUGCUGAACAAUCCCAUCAGCCACCAGACUCAACAUCUGAACAUCACUCAACUCUGUCACACAUGUUCAGGUACGGCAGCGCUGAUGAUAUUAGCGUUUAUUGACUGAGCUGAUCUCACUUUGAUGUUUUUAUUCCUCAGUCCACUGUUGUGGUCCUACUGAAGCUGUGAUCCGAUUGGUCCUCUCUGCUCUGGUGGGCGUGGCUACUGUCAUUCUUGUGGUUUAUGACAUCAGAUCCAGAAGAGCUGAAGGAGAUCAAGCACAUAUUCACACAUCAGGAAGUGCUUAAAUCUGAAGCAGAACGCUGAACUUUAAAGAUUCUUCAAGUGUGUUUUUGUCAUAAUAAAUACUGAUGAUUAUUUGAGCUUCUCUUUCAGGGUCAGAUUUGUAAAACUCUUAUUUGUAAGGCUUUAUUGUUUAUAUUUCUCUCAGAGACACACAGAUCUCACUUUACUACUACUGCUGUAUAUUUGUCAUGUGUAUUUUACACUGUUGUUGAGGAUCAAAUUAAAAUAGCAUCUUUUUAAUGUGUCUGACGGAGUUGACACAAAUUCAGUUCUGAAGUGAAUAAAUGUACAUUUUCAGAAGAAAACAUUUUCAGAAAAACCUGUUCCCUUACAUGUUCAUUAGCUGAGACCUUUGUCUACAAAUAUAUCAGUUUAUAAUAAUGUGUUAUUCAAUAAUAAAAACUAACAUCUAAAACAUGUUUUGUCUCUUCUCUCAAGAAUCAGUGAGAUUAAGUUCAGACUUCUAUUCUUGCCAUAACUCUGAUAUCAUUUCAUGAUCACUACAUUCACUUGCGUCUUGUGUUUUGGGUUCACUAACAUCGUCCUGUCAGAGUCUCUGUAACAAUUGUAGUCACACAUUUAUUUCAAUAAUAAUUCCAGAUUCUGUAGAAAUGCUCUCUGUUACAGUCACAGCUGUGUGUAUUUGUGUAAAACAUUCUUUAUGAACUCCUACACUAUUUUUAAUACUUUAAUACUAUUUGUGCAGUUUAAUAUUGGGAAUAUAAAUGCUUUCUGCACCCAAGAUGUAGUCUCAUGCUCUUUUAUUAGUAAUUUUUCUUUUCUUUCUUUAUCCAUUCAUCAGUCCUUACUAUGUCUCCAUUAUAUCUGCUGAACUUUAACUAGAUAUCUCUCUUUUCUUUAGACUAUCUUCACAUGGCCUUGAUGUCUCCAUUUCCCUUUCUUCCUGGCAUCUGCUACCUUCAUCAGCUGGUCAUUUUGUGUUUAAGCUUUUUGUCCUUUUUCCCCAUUUUUGGAGGCUGUCCUAUAGUAUCUCUGCGUCAUUGAUGUCUUGACCUUGGCAUCUCUACAGCACUGUUAACAAUUUCCCUGUAUUUUUACAGUACAGUACUGGCAGCAGGGUUGCCAGCAAUGUACUGUAUUUCGCUUUACAGCAAUGUACUGUAAUGCAAUUUUACAGUACAAAGAACAGUACUGUAUAACUACAUAACAGUAUUUUACUGUAUUUUUACAGUAUUUUGUAAU